AUUGAAAGAUGGAGGCAGGCCUAACACAUGCAAGUCGAACGAGUGGCGGACGGGUGCGUAAUGUCUGGGAAACUGCCUGAUGGAGGGGGAUAACUACUGGAAACGGUAGCUAAUACCGCAUACCAUCGGAUGUGCCAAGAUGGGAUUAGCUAGUAGGUGGGGGAAGGGCUCACCUAGGCGACGGUCCCUAGCUGGUCUGAGAGGAUGACCAGCCACACUGGAACUGAGACACUGUCCAGACUCCUACGUGAGGCAGCAGUGGGGAAUAUUGCACAAUGGGCGCAAGCCUGAUGCAGCCAUGCCGCGUGUAUGCAGAAGGCCUUCGGGUUGUAAAGUACUUUCAGCGGGGAGGCGUUACCCGCAGAAGAAGCACCGGCUAACUCCGUGCCAGCAGCCGCGGUAAUUC
rnacentral:rRNA from 1 species